rnacentral:rRNA from 1 species
GUGCGGAGCCGUAGCGAAAGCGAGUUUUAACUGAGCGUUCAGUUACUUGACGGAGACCCGAACCCGGGCGACCUACCCAUGAGCAGGAUGAAGCGAAAGUAAAAGUUCGUGGAGGUCCGAACCCACGGGCGUUGAAAAGCUCGGGGAUGACUUGUGGGUAGCGGUGAAAGUCCAAUCGAGCCCGGAGAUAGCUGGUUCUCCCCGAAAUAGCUUUAGGGCUAGCCUCAAGGUGAGAGAUACGGAGGUAGAGCACUGAAUGUCCUAGGGGGUAUUGCACCUACCGAAGACUAUCAAACUCCGAAUGCCGUCAUCUUAUACUUGGGAGUCAGACUGUGGGUGAUAAGAUUCAUAG